GAUGAAGAACGCAGCGAAAUGCGAUAAGUAAUGUGAAUUGCAGAAUUCAGUGAAUCAUCGAAUCUUUGAACGCACAUUGCGCCCGCCAGUAUUCUGGCGGGCAUGCCUGUCCGAGCGUCAUUUCAACCAUCAAGCCCCCGGGCUUGUGUUGGGGACCUGCGGCUGCCCGCAGGCCCUGAAAACCAGUGGCGGGCUCGCUGUCACACCGAGCGUAGUAGCAAUCACCUCGCUCAGGGCGUGCUGCGGGUUCCGGCCGUUAAACAGCCUUACAAAACCCAAGGUUGACCUCGGAUCAGGUAGGAAGACCAGCUGAACUUAAGCAUAUCAAUAAGCGGAGGA
rnacentral:misc_RNA from 1 species